UUUCCGUAGGUGAACCUGCGGAAGGAUCAUUAAUGAGUUGUCAUGGGGUUCGAUGCUGGCAGCCAAUUUUUGGAUGCAUGUGCUUGCCCUAACAAUCACCUUCCAAACACCUGUGCACAUUUUUGAGGGAGUCUUGAGUUGGUUGCCGCUCUUGGGUGAUUUUCUCACAUUCCCUUAAAUCAUUAUACGCUAUUAACAAUGUUGAACGUGCUCUGUGCCGCAAGGCUAUUAAUAUAAUACAACUUUUAACAACGGAUCUCUUGGCUCUC
rnacentral:misc_RNA from 1 species